rnacentral:rRNA from 1 species
UACAGAGGGUGCAAGCGUUAAUCGGAAUUACUGGGCGUAAAGCGUGCGUAGUCGGUUGUUUAAGUCGGAUGUGAAAUCCCCGGGCUCAACCUGGGAAUUGCAUUCGAUACUGGGCAGCUAGAGUUCGGCAGAGGGAAGCGGAAUUUCCGGUGUAGCGGUGAAAUGCGUAGAUAUCGGAAGGAACAUCAGUGGCGAAAGCGGCUUCCUGGACCAGAACUGACGAUCAGGCACGAAAGCGUGGGGAGCAAACAGG